CACACCAAACAAGAACUGGUUCAGUCAAAAAGUUCGAAACAUAGCAUGCCUUCUCUGAACAUACCUCUGGGGUCAUUCCCUUCAUUCCUUCUCUUUUUUAUGCAAAGAGAAACACUUUUACCAUAACAGAGAAGCCCCUAUUUACAUCUCUGAGCCCGGACAAAAACCGCAGCUGUAUGCUCCACCAGGCUCAGGGCAGAAAUCAUUCAUGCAGUUACAUAGCUAUAUAUCUCUACAAGCAUGCAGACACCUAUUAAACACUAGAUAACCGUGUUUAUCUUUCCUAUUCUCCUUCACAAUACCUAGCUGUUCUCUCACCUCUUGUUAGGUCAAAUAUUCUCCAGCUUCCUCUCCUAUCUCUCUCUUCAGACAUUCUCUAUCCUCCUCUUUUUUGCUUGUUAAUUGCGAGGAGGCAAAGGUUGUGUGUAGCUGGGUGACCAUGACCUGCUUUAAGUUACAAUCAACUAAACACUGAAUACAGGAAAAAAAGGUAUGGGAGACAUAAGGCAAACAUCAAUAAGGUGGUUAAAGAUAAUUAUAAUAAAUCCUGUAAUACUUUUGAGUCAUGGCCCAAAGUUUCCCAGCCGUGAGAAGAGACCAAAGGCAUCCCGCCCCUGGCUCUGUUGCAGAUCUUUGUUUUAAGGCUUUUGAGUUUUGUAUACUUUUGUAAAUUAAUUCACAGUGGUCACUCAGAUUCACGUAACACAUCCUAUCAAAGUCUUCACACUUGUGUCCCUGUGCUAAUAAUAAAAAUAAAUAGCAACUCGGUUCUGUAGCAACAUAUGAUGGACAGAAUCAACAUCUGUUAAUAAGCCAGAAAAAAAAUAGUAUUUGUAGUAUUACUUUGUUUAGCAAGCUAGCAGCCUAAUUUACUAAGCAAGUUAAGAGCGUGUACUAUUCUUACAGAAGAGAUUAGAGAAGCAAAAAUCUGUUAUGCUGCAUUCCAGAACUCAGCUUGAGAAUUACAGUCUGCUGUGAGUUCUGCGUUACAAUCAUUUGACACAUGUUGGGGUUGCGAUUGUGAAAGUUGCCUGUUUACAAUUUUCAUUGGCAUUAUCACAGCUAGUUGUUUUAAAAGCAACCCUUGAGCUUCCUGAUGUUCGACUAGUUGCAAAAUAUUCUGAAGCCAAUCAAUCAAGUUAGUAUUAAAGUUAGUGACUCUCUAGGACCCUGCAAGACUGUGGCAAGACUCCCGCAUCCUGACUGCCUUAAUAGCCAUCUCAUUCAUUUGCAAACACUUGUCCCUGGGAUACCUUGCCUGAGUCACAGAAUCGGCACAGUUAAUUGCUCCAGCUAACUGCUCAUAGUUAACAGCAAUUCCCCGAUUAAGGUUUUCAGUCAAGGCCACUACACAUAGCUCACAAAAAUCAGAUAACCACAUCAUAUACUGUAUCAGUUAGUACCAUACAAAGCAAUAACUUCCAAUCAUGCAGUGUGAGUGUAUAAGGCUCUGCCAUCACUUCAAGAAGGGACAUAGCAAAUGUAUUAUGAAUCCUCCCUUCCCGCACUGCUUUGCUUAAUUCUUUAACAGCCUCGUAUUGCACAGGCUGCCACUCUCGAGGUUGAUUUGUCUGACAAAAUAUUGAACAUGCCCUAGCGACUCCCAAAACCCAUCACUUAAGUGUUUCCCACUUGCAUUCCUGCCACCAAUCCCUCAGACCCCCUUUCACCCUCCCCCAAAAUACAAUCAAUGCAUCAGGAGAGACAAGGGGGUGGGGGAAAGGUCUAGCUCCUUUUCCAGAUCUAUAGGACCUGGAUCAAAAGGUUUAUCAGAGUCAAUAAAAUCAUUGUCCGAGUUGUCCUGUUCCCGUGCUUGCUCCCGUGUUGCGAGGGUCGCUGCAAUCAGUGACAGAAGCUUUGGGAGCAGAGGAGGUGUGGACGGAAUCGCCAUCGCUGACGGUGUCUUGAGAAGAGUCGCGCUGUCGGUGGAAUUUACAGCUUCCUCUGGUUUAGCACCAUUAGUAGAAUUAGUCCACACUUGGCAAAGAGUAGUCAGAAUUUGCCACCAAGAUGCUAAAUGCAUUCCCGACACGGAGUUCCCCUCUGCGGCAGCAUCAUACAAUUGGCUGCUGUAUGUACACACUUUCAUUCUUUCAAAGUCUCUAAAGUUUCUUGGCUGCUCACCUGUCUCGAUGCAUACAGGCGUUAUCCUCGGGGUUUAGGUUGUCCGCCUGGUCCAGACAGCAAGACGAUCGUUCAGCCAAGCCGUCUCCUCCGGAACGCAGCCCUCUUCCACGAGCUGUCUUUUUUCCGUCCUUAUUCUUCCAAGGCUUCGGAACACCACCAUAGGGGUCACCAUUUGAGGAGACUGAGGCACGGA